rnacentral:misc_RNA from 1 species
UAAUCAAAAUAAUGACCACAAAGGCUUUUAAGGAGUUCUUUCGUUUAACUAUCUCUCUAAAAGCAAUUUACUGUAGCUAGUCAAUGUUUAUUUGAAUUUGUUUUUAUUUUCUCCACCUCACAUGUUCUGGCUAUAAAUAUGCAUUUCCUGUCAGAACAUGGUCUGUUAAGGAUUUUGAAGCUAGAGGAAGCUCUGAAUCCGUAGUUGAGCAGAUCAUAAAUAGUUCUUGCAUUUCGUUCACGGUUUAUUG